UCACUAAAACGAGAAACAUGUGAAUCAUGCUCUGCCAUUCAUUUAAGGACCAAAUCAAAAUUCAACUAAAAUGAUGCAAGUGGAAUGCACAUUCCAUAAAUUAAACCAGCACUAUUAAUAAAUGUUAAGAUAAAACCAACAAAAUAAAAAGAAGAAAUGUACAGAAUAAAAUAAUCAUCACAAGAUAAAUGAAAAUAAAUAAAAAAAUAGGGUGAUUAAGCAUAUAUGAUCAACACAUCAAUUCUUAAU
rnacentral:lncRNA from 1 species